rnacentral:lncRNA from 1 species
GCAUGCCAAGAUCUUGUUGUUGUUGUUGCACUUGUUUUCAUGGUUGUUGUUGGGGCAUUUACUGUCGAAUCGUCACCUUCACCAGUCCCUUCCAAGGCAUCUUCACCUUCGAAGUCACCAUCUCAUUCUUCUCUGGCUUCAUCCCCCAAGUCCCCCUCCAUUAAGUCACCGUCACAAGACUCCAAUGGCUCAUCUUUUUCACCAUCAAAAUCCCACGAAGGAGCACCCAAGUCAUCUCAUCCUGGUGCCCCAAUGAGCUCUUCAAGCUCCUCUUCCCCUAAUCCUAGUCAAAGCGACAACCCUAACGCCAACAAAGGAUACUCUUCUGAGGUUGAGUCUCCUAUGGAGGUCUCAUCCCCUCCUUCACCAACCGCCAAUGAUGAAGUUUCUCACUCCCCUACUCCUAGCCCUGAAAGCACGAGUGAUGUUUUCGAUAGUGAGACCCUUGCACCAGCACCCUCUAAUGCCAAUGAAAUAAAGGCCACCACUUGGAUUGUCAGUGUUGUAACUCUUGUUAGACUCGUCCUCUUUUAAGCUUCACAUGCAUAAGUUCAUGGAAGGCCUUGAGAUGUGCUUUCUAGUUACCUUUAAUUUUUAUUAUAAAAAAGUCCUAUUUAUAUGCUAAUUAAAAUUGUACUUUUGAGGCCUGGAAUAAAAUUUAUAAUAUAUAAUUUUUAAUUAAUGUACUAAUAGUGAAUCAAAACCUGUAAAUAUCUAGCAUUAAAUAAGUUCGAAGCACUGAUUAAGCUUGUUUAAGAAUUUUCAUGCUUAAGGUCUAACUUGAGGUAGUUAAAGCUUGUCCGUAUUCAAGCUCAAGCUUAGCCUAAUAAUUACGUUUAGGUUAAUAAUAUAUACUAAAGAUGAUAACAUAUUUUAAUAAUAUAAAAACAUUUAAAAUAUAUAUUAAAAAUAAAAGUCUCGAUAAGGCUCACGAGCUAUUCAAGCAAGUAUUUUGUAAUAGCCUAAUUUUAGGGUUAGUCAAGAUAGUGGUUUUUGGACCACAAUAUGAGGUCAAAAUAAUUAUUUUAUUAUUUUAUUAAUGUUUACAGUAUCAUAGAAUGUUCGUGUAAAAAUUUCGUAAAGAGAUUUUAUCGUUUAAGUGUUUAAUUGGUAAAAAGGACUAAAUCGCUUAAAGCGUAAAAAUUGAGUUCUAAUAGCUAAAAGUGUUUAAAUUCUCUAGAAUUUAAAGGAGGAAGUCCUUAUGUGUUAAUUAGUCCAAUUAUGAGAUAGUGGCUGAAAAUGGUUUGGUAAUGUGGUAAAUUGAAUUGAUUUUUAAGGUUAAAUUUGUAAUAUGGUAAUUAAGUAAAGUAAAAAUAAAAUAAACAAAGGUGUCAUCUUCCACCCAUUAUAUUUCCACCAAAAAAUGAGAAAGAAAACACCAUGGAUAUGGCUUCAAAGGUUUGGCCAUCUUAAGAUUAAAUUGUAAGUUCAUUUUUGACCUGGUUUUUAAUAAUUUCUACGUUUUUUAGAUCAUUGCUUCGAAAUCUAGCUAGCCCGUACCUCUGAUUUCAAAACUGUUAAAGAUUUUGAUAGUUGUCAUUGUUGAAUAUAUGUUUUAUUUGAAGUUUGAUGAUGAAAUAUGAAAUUUUGAUGAUAGUUUUACAUGUUCGGUAAAGUGAUUUUGAGUAAAAAUGUCAAUUUUGGACUAAAUUAAGAAAAAUGAUAAAUCGUGUGGUAAAAGUGUGAAUAAAUGAAAAGUGUUGGCUUUUAUGGAAAUAAUAAAAAUUCAGCUAGCUUGGGUUUGUGUUUAAUUUUAUGAAAUUGUGAUUUUAUGUGACAAGGACUGAAUUGCAAAAAUGUGAAAGUAUAGGGGCAAAAGUGUAAAAUUGCCAUAAUGUGUAAAUUGUGUUAAAUUGAGUGAAUUAGUGAUUAAAUAAGGUAAUUUUUUUAUUAUAUAGAUUAAGAAAAACAAGAUUUGGACCUAGAAAUAGGACAAAAACUAUGUAUUGGAUUAGUCGACCUAAUUCAUCGUUUCAAUGAACGAGGUAAGUUCAUAUGUUAAAUAAUGUUCUUAAAUUGUGUUCUAAAUGUACAUUUAUCAUUGAAUUGAUAUGGAUAUUGAUUGGAUGAGUACAAGCAUGAAUGGAAAAAGUUACGACGUUUGAAAGUCCCGUACGAACAUUUGGAAUAGCUUAGGAUACUAAGAUGUGAUUACGUGUAAGACCAUGUCUGGGACAUUGGCAUUCUUACGUGAUUCGUGUAAGACCAUGUAUGGGACAUUGGCAUCGAUACGAGAUUCGUGUAAGACCAUGUCUGGGAUGUUGGCAGCGGUAUGAAAUUCGUGUAAGACCAUAGUUGGCUAUUGGCAUUGAUAUGUGAUAACAUUUAAGACCAUAUUUGGGAUAUGGCAUUGUGCGAGUUAUACGAGAUUUUUGAGUAUCCUUAGCAAUUCUUAAUGGUUCAACGGGGAAAUUCAAGACGAGAAUAAAAGUGUAAACGAAAUAAGUGGUACAGGUAUGUACGAUACUCAUACGUAUAUUGAAUGAAAGAAGAUUGAUAAAUAGAUGUGAGCUCGUGUAUAUUACAUGGAAAUGUUUGAGUUUAUGUAAGUGUUUGAUUUAUAUAAAUGCUUAUUGAGGAUAUCGAAUUUCACAUUAUGAGUAAGUGGAUAGUUAUGAGAAAUCCAUAUAGUUGGUUUAUGUGGCAUGUAUAGGCUAGUUGGUUUAUGAAGUGUAUAAGUGACCUUUGGCUAUUUAUUCAUAUGUGUUUGAUAUGUAUUUAGCCAUGAGAUUUGGCUUAAUAGUGAUGUAAAUUUUAAUGUGUAUAAGUUGUGUUCAUAUUAGUUUGGUAUGCAAAUUUCCUUGUGAAAUGGUAUAUCUUGGUAUGUUUGAUUAUGGUUCAAAUAGCUCAAUAGACAUUUGGUAAGUGACAUGUAUAUGUUUGGUUAUUUGUGGCUUGACCAUGAAUGCAAAUGUAGUGGAAAUGUGGCUUAAGAAAUGGUAUGUUUAAAUAUGAAUUUGAAAUGAUACUUUGGUAUGCCUUGGUUUGGUUUUAGACUGAAUGAUUCGGUUGGAUAUUUAGUUUGAAUUUAAGGCAUGUGAUAAAUGCAAUUGAUAGUAAGUGGUGAAUGAUGAAUCAUGUGGAGUUGGAGUGCUUUGAGCUAGUUUAUGGGCAUUUGAUGAGUAGUAAGGAAAUGGAUAUACAAUUGUAUGAAAUGUACAUGAAAUGGUCAUUUUUCGUUGCCUAUUAGAUGUUAAAUUGAUGCCGAAAUGAUGUGGUUUAGGUAUGCAUGUGAAAGGUGAGAAAUGUGGCUUAAACUAAGUCUAUUUUUGUGCCACAUGGUCUGAGCACACGGACGUGUGACUCAACCGUGUGACCUCUGUUACUUAGAAAAUUUUUACAAGUUUCAGAUAUUUUUAUAUGUGAUCAGUUUAGUCUCGAACCUUCCCUAAUGUUUGUUUAAGGUAUCGUAGACCUCUAAAAGGGAAAAUAUGUGUGUGAUUGAAUGAUUAUGUAUCAUAAUGCAAAAAUGUUUAAUUUAUAAUUGUAUAUUUGAAUGAUUAUGUUUCUGUAUAAUUGACUAUAGUUUCUCCGGCAAUGAAUGUGGCAUCCUAUAGCUCGGACCUAGCGAUCGGGUCAAGCGACGUGUGUUACACAAUGGGUAUUUUAGCAAAAGAAAAGGGGAUGAUGAGUAGAUUUUAACAAAGAGCUUCAAGGGCUUUAGAAUGAAAGAAGGAAUAAAUUUUAAAAUAGGAAAAUAGGUCUAACCAAGUUCGCAACUUGAAUAUUAAAGCUAAAUCCCAUUUCCUCCCCAAAUACUAGGCGCUCUUUUAGGAUUAGAGAUAUUUAAGAAAAAAACCUUAAACAGGUCAACAAGUGAUCUAUUCGCCCAUAAUCAACAAUACAAGCAAGCAAGCUAUAGAUAAGUCCAACCAUACAAAUCACUCUAAUCAUGGAAACUCAACAUUGGAGAGAUCAUGAAAUAAGCAUUGAGACUUCGACUUUUCUUUCGUGAUAAUAUGAACUCAAAGCUCGUGUUUCUUUCCAUUUAAUGGAACCAUUAAAGCAUAUAGAAUAUGAUACAUAAUUAGAUAUUAGAUAAGACAUGGAAGAUACAAAAUAUAACAAGUCAACCGAAUUACUGAAUUUACUUAUAAUUUAAAAUUUUAGUUGUAUAUAUUUAUAUUUUGAAUUUAAAUUUAAAUUAUAUUAUAAUAUAAAUAGUUUUAAAUGUAUUUUAUGAAAUUAUCAAAUGAUAAUUUCAUAUGUGAUAAUAAAACUUGUAUACUUAUAUAUAGUCACCUAAUAAAAUAAAAAAGAAGAUAAACCUUGAGAAUUUCUAUCUUAUCAAUAUUACUUUGUACGUCUCAAAAUUCAAAUGUAAAAAACAAACUCUUAAACAAUAACCAAAUAAAGGUUUUGUUAUAAGUAUCAAUAUGAUUACUAACAAUUUUUUUAAUUCACUAUUUUAAAAUAAAAAUGCAAGUAUAAACAAACAUUAACUAUUCAAUUAGAUUUUGAUUCCAAAGAAAAAAAUCAUAACAAAUAGAAGUUAAACAAGCCUAAUAAAAAAUAGAACAAAACCUUAAUAUAGUAUUGUGAGAUGUUAAAGGUUCAAUUUUAGUUCAUAAGAAAAUCACUUCUCUUACAUGCACAUAUUAUAUAUAUAUAUCAAUCUUUUAAUAAACAAAGAUAACAAGUUAUAAGAAAAUAUUAAAAAUAAAAAGUGAAAGAUGGCAUGCCAAGAUCUUGUUGUUGUUGUUGCACUUGUUUUCAUGGUUGUUGUUGGGGCAUUUGCUGUCGAAUCGUCACCUUCACCAGUCCCUUCCAAGGAAUCUUCACCUUCGAAGUCACCAUCUCCUUCUUCUCUGGCUUCAUCCCCCAAGUCCCCCUCCAUUAAGUCACCGUCACAAGACUCCAAUGGCUCAUCUUUUUCACCAUCAAAAUCCCACGAAGGAGCACCCAAGUCAUCUCAUCCUGG